rnacentral:rRNA from 1 species
CAGUAGCCGCGGGAAUACGUAGGUGGCAAGCGUUGUCCGGAAUUAUUGGGCGUAAAGGGCUCGCAGGCGGCUUCUUAAGUCUGAUGUGAAAGCCCCCGGCUCAACCGGGGAGGGUCAUUGGAAACUGGGAAACUUGAGUGCAGAAGAGGAGAGUGGAAUUCCACGUGUAGCGGUGAAAUGCGUAGAGAUGUGGAGGAACACCAGUGGCGAAGGCGACUCUCUGGUCUGUAACUGACGCUGAGGAGCGAAAGCGUGGGGAGCGAACAGGAUUAGAUACCCCUGUAGUCCCUGUCUCUUAUAA